CACGCCGUAAACGAUGGAUACUAGCUGUUGGGGGCAACUUCAGUGGCUAAGCGAAAGUGAUAAGUAUCCCACCUGGGGAGUACGUUCGCAAGAAUGAAACUCAAAGGAAUUGACGGGGGCCCGCACAAGCGGUGGAGCAUGUGGUUUAAUUCGAUGAUACGCGAGGAACCUUACCAGGGCUUAAAUGUAGAUUGACAGGACUGGAAACAGUUUUUUCUUCGGACAAUUUACAAGGUGC
rnacentral:rRNA from 1 species